AAAUUCUUUUUUUUAAGUAACCAUUUAAAGUCUUAGAAAGUCUCCUAAGGGCAUACAGCAAAUGAACACACAUUUAUUCAAAGAAAUCUGCUAAAACCCAGUGAGAAUAGCAAGAGACUGCAGUAUUUGAACCAAGACCUACCCUACCUGAACCUCAGCAAGAUGGAAUCUCCCCUCAGACUGGUACAACCCAGAACGUAGGCUCUCUUCUCUGUCAGCUCCCAGUUGGAGGACUGUUUCCUAGGAAGGGCAGGAGUUCAACGUUUUUAAUCCUGUCCCAGCUAUGUGUUGCUGAGGCUGGAUUCCAGGCAUGUGAUGUCCAAGUAAAGAUUCCCUUCUGGCCAACCGCACUUACGGGAUGGAGACUUUAUCUUGGGUGUGAUGCCACUGAAAAUACUGGGGCCUUGAUCACUCUUGCCCACUCAUAAUGUGGAGGUCUUAUGCUGGGAGAGGCAAGCUAGAGAGACCUGAGGCUACUCCUUCCCUCCACCAAAUGCUUAUCUCCUAAAGCAGAAGUGUCGCUCAAGAGAGAAGCAUGCUAUCGCCCAGAACUCUGGCUCAGAGAUUUUGCCCAGUGGGAGAAGCAAAUUAUUAUUAACAACAACAAAAGCUCUGAAUCUCUUCUUCCCAGAGGAACUGAUUUAUCUGCAACGGAGUGUAGACACAUUAAAGCCCAAAAUGUUCUUGAAAACAAUGGAGGACUUGCUGUUUUAUGAUAGUGUCAAAAAAAGAAAACAACAUAAAUGGUGGAGGUUGUGGUGCAAACUAAUGUUUAGGAGACUGGUAGGUUCAUUAAGCUAAACUGUAAACUGGCUAGAUUUUUUUCAGGGGAAGAAAGAGCAAAGAGCCUUCCUGGGAUCAGAACAAAUCUCAAACACAUCAAAAGCUAUUCCUUUCAAGGAGUUCAUGUUUAAUUGGAUCAGUCUGUGGAGCAAUUUAUGCCCCAGGUCUCUGUUGAAAACAUAGAGUAACCAGCUGGCAAUCAGUGGAGCUUAAUAGCUGGGUAUGAACACUUAACAGACAAGAUAGCCGUGCCAAAACCAUCCCAAGGUAGCUGUGUGCAUUCACAGUUUGGCUGUACUCUAUGAGAGGUCAUAUCUGAGACUUCAAACUGGGCAGGGUAUGGUAGGGAGCAGACAGAUACUGACUUCACUACAAUAAGCCAGCCAAUCACUAAACAAACAAGUACAUAAUAAUAACAAGCCCUGGAGUUAGGAAUGAAGAGGACCAGCACCCAGAAUUUCUACAGUGUUACCUGGAAUAUCCAAUUUUCAACAAAAAGUUGAGAUAUGCAAAGAAAUGGGAAAGUCUAACCCAUAUAUCGGGGGAAAAAAGCAGACAACCAGGCUUGCCUGUAAGAGGGAACAGAUGUCAGAUUUAAUAAAAGAUUUCAUAGUAGUCAUUAUAAAUAUGUUCAUAGAACCAAAGGAAAUCAUGGUUGAA
rnacentral:lncRNA from 1 species